UCUUGUAACAGACUUUAUGACGAGCCAUCAGCAAUGAUGACUGUUAAUCAUUGGCGCGAAAAACGAACAUAUAAAAGAUCAAGAGACGAGUCGAAAGUUGUUGUCAUUUUUUCUAUAGUGAGUAUAAGUGUCUCCAGUUUCAUGUUCUUCUUGUGCUCGUGUUUUUCUUGUUUUCUUGUGUUAUGAGUUUCUCAUGUAUGUUUUUUGUUUCUCCAAUAUUUUUCGAGAAGAGAUAAUCAAUCUGUACCUGCUGGAUCCAAAGGAAAAACGCUGUUCAUGUCAUCAUCAUCGCUAAUUCAGUAAAUCGGAUUCAUCACGAAACAAUAUUGUCGAAUAAUUUAUUUCUUACAUCAUUAUUUCUAUCCUUUUAACAUACCAUUAUAUUCAACACAAUAAACGAAUGAUUUCUUUUAAAAACAACCAGUAGCGUUGGCGACACCACCGCCAUCAAUAUACGCCCCUUUUGUGUAU